rfam:Phytophthora nicotianae strain race 0 contig1960, whole genome shotgun sequence.
GCCGGGUUGGGUGGCGCCAACUUGUCACGGAUAUGCUUCUGUCCGGGUAGUAAGGUGUGAGGAUUGUGGUAUGCGUUGCUGAAUUACUAUCCCCAGGAUGUGGAUGAUGCGUCCAUCUCAAACCAGGAGUCGACAUUGGGGUAUUGUCGUAAGACAGUGCACCGAGGUCACUAAGGAAGGGUGUACUNCCCCAGGCUGGUUAACAGAGCAGGGAAAAACCCUCGCUCUUGGUAGUGGGAGGAUCUCGUAUCAGAAUCCUGAUGUAUUACAACUGCGCUGUAAAUAGUAAUUCGAUCACCUUGCAA